rnacentral:rRNA from 1 species
UACGGGGGGGGCAAGCGUUGUUCGGAAUUACUGGGCGUAAAGGGGACGUAGGCGGCCAACUAAGUCCGACGUGAAAUCCCAAGGCUUAACCUUGGAACUGCGUCGGAUACUGGAUGGCUUGAAUUCGGGAGAGGGAUGCAGAAUUCCAGGUGUAGCGGUGAAAUGCGUAGAUAUCUGGAGGAACACCGGUGGCGAAGGCGGCAUCCUGGACCAACACUGACGCUGAGUGAGCGAAAGCCAGGGGAGCAAACGGG